AGAGUUUGAUCCUGGCUCAGGAUGAACGCUAGCGGCAGGCCUAACACAUGCAAGUCGAGGGAUAAGCUUUCGGGCUGAAACCGGCGUACGGGUGCGUAACGCGUAUACAAUCUGCCUUUCACAGGGGGAUAGCCCGAAGAAAUUUGGAUUAAUACCCCAUAGGAUAAUGGUGUGGCAUCAUAUUAUUAUUAAAGCUACGGUGGUGAAAGAUGAGUAUGCGUUCUAUUAGCUAGUUGGAGAGGUAACGGCUCCCCAAGGCGACGAUAGAUAGGGGUUCUGAGAGGGAUGUCCCCCACACUGGUACUGAGAUACGGACCAGACUCCUACGGGAGGCAGCAGUGAGGAAUAUUGGACAAUGGUCGGAAGACUGAUCCAGCCAUGCCGCGUGCAGGAUGAAGGUCUUAUGGAUUGUAAACUGCUUUUGCAGGGGAAGAAUAAGGACUACGCGUAGUUUGAUGACGGUACUCUGUGAAUAAGCAUCGGCUAACUCCGUGCCAGCAGCCGCGGUAAUACGGAGGAUGCGAGCGUUAUCCGGAAUCAUUGGGUUUAAAGGGUCUGUAGGCGGGCUGGUAAGUCAGAGGUGAAAGCGCUUAGCUCAACUAAGCAACUGCCUUUGAAACUGCUGGUCUUGAAUGGUUGUGAAGUAGUUGGAAUGUGUAGUGUAGCGGUGAAAUGCUUAGAUAUUACACAGAACACCGAUAGCGAAGGCAUAUUACUAACAAUUAAUUGACGCUGAUGGACGAAAGCGUGGGGAGCGAACAGGAUUAGAUACCCUGGUAGUCCACGCUGUAAACGAUGGAUACUAGCUGUUUGG
rnacentral:rRNA from 1 species